rnacentral:lncRNA from 1 species
AUGAAAGAGUUACAAAGAGGCAGAAGCAGAGGCAGGGAGAGAGAUAGAGAGAGAGAGAGAGAGAGAGAGAGGAGAGAGAGAGAAAGAUAUCUUUCAUACAUUGGUUCAUUCCCUAGAUGGCCUCAAUGGCCAGAGCUGAGCCAGUCCAAAGCCAGGAGCCAGGAGUUUCUUCCAGGUCUCCCACAUAGGUAUAAAGGCCCAAGCACUUGGGCCAUCUCUCACUGCUUUCCCAGGUACAUUCGCAGGGACCUGGAUCAGAAGUGGAGCAGGUGGGACUCAAACUGGUGCCCAUAUGGGAUACUCACACUGCAAACAGUGACUUUACCCACUGUACCUCAGCACUGGCCCCAGACAAGUCACUUCUCAAAAGCCAGCAUGGGUGUUAAACACUGGACUACAAGAGGAACAUCUCCUCUCUGUGUUGUUGGUAGAAUGGUGCCUUCUGCUGUCCCCACCUUCAGUACAUUAGUGUGAGAAUGUGCAGUCCCUGGAUGGUAAAUGGAAUGUGACAUUGAGGAGGAACAGCACUGCUUCCGUUUCCACAUCCUUAAUUCUUGGGAAACGCUGGUUAUUAUGAGUCCUUACGUGUUUUAAAGAUGUUUGAUUAUUCAAUAAAAGCUGUUCAUGGACAUCUGAGAACUUCCUU